rnacentral:rRNA from 1 species
UAUGGAGAGUUUGAUCCUGGCUCAGGACGAACGCUGGCGGCGUGCCUUACACAUGCAAGUCGUGCGAGAACGGUUCCUUCGGGAACCUAGUAGAGCGGCGAACGGGUGAGUAAUACGUGAGCGAUCUGCCCGAGGGUGGGGGAUACCCCAGGGAAACCUGGACCAAUACCGCGUACAGCGUCGGGAGUGGGUGCCCGACGUGAAAGCCGGCCUCUUCUAUGCUGGCGCCCUCGGAUGAGCUCGCGGCCUAUCAGCUUGUUGGUGGGGUAACGGCCUACCAAGGCUAUGACGGGUAGCUGACGUGAGAGCGUGAUCAGCCACAUUGGGACUGAGACACGGCCCAGACUCCUACGGGAGGCAGCAGUG